rnacentral:rRNA from 1 species
UACAGAGGGGGCAAGCGUUGUUCGGAAUUACUGGGCGUAAAGGGCGCGUAGGCGGCCUGUUAAGUCGAACGUGAAAUCCCCGGGCUCAACCCGGGAACUGCGUCCGAUACUGGCAGGCUUGAAUUCGGGAGAGGGAUGUGGAAUUCCAGGUGUAGCGGUGAAAUGCGUAGAUAUCUGGAGGAACACCGGUGGCGAAGGCGGCAGCCUGGACCGAUAUUGACGCUGAUGCGCGAAAGCCAGGGGAGCAAACGGG